rnacentral:rRNA from 1 species
UAUUACGGCCAUACCACCCUGAACAAGCCCGAUUCCAUCUGCUCUCAGAAGCUAAGCAGGGUCGGGCCUGGUUAGUACUUGGAUGGGAGACCAACUAGGAAGACCAGGCGUAAAAA